GACGAACGCUGGCGGCGUGCUUAACACAUGCAAGUCGAACGGAAAGGCCCUGCUUUUGUGGGGUGCUCGAGUGGCGAACGGGUGAGUAACACGUGAGUAACCUGCCCGUGGCGUGGGGAUAACUUCAGGAAACUGGGUCUAUUACCGGAUAGGAGCUCCUGCGGCAGGGGGGGGGUUUGGAAGUUUGGGCGGUUGGGGUUGGACUCGCGGCUUAUCAGCUUGUUGGUGGGGUAGUGGCUUACCAAGGCUUUGACGGGUAGCCGGCCUGAGAGGGUGACCGGCUACAUGGGGACUGCGAUACGGCCCAGACUCCUACGGGAGGCAGUAGGGGGGAAUAUUGCACAAUGGGCGGACGCCUGAUGCAGCAACGCCGCGUGCGGGAUGACGGCCUGCGGGUUGUAAACCGCUUUCGCCUGUGACGAAGCGUGAGUGACGGUAAUGGGUAAAUAAGCACCGGCUAACUACGUG
rnacentral:rRNA from 1 species